rnacentral:lncRNA from 10 species
CCUGGCUAGGGCUCCACCCCCAUGGACCUAGCUGAGGACAGGCACUCCUGCCUUCCACCUAAAUUUUGCAUUUCCCGAGACACCUUGGCCCGCCAUUCCCCCGUCCUGUGCCUGUAAAAACUCCAGGCCCUAGAAGGCACACACGCACAAGUGGCUGGACUUCGUGAGGAAUUCAUAGGGGAAGAAGAUGCAAGUGGCUGGUCAUGGAGAGGACUUUUUGACGAGCGCCGGCAAAAGAGCACAGCGAAGAAAUCCCAGGAUACGGAAAGCCCUCUGUACUUGCAACAAGACAGAGUCUCACUGUGUCAGCCAGGCUGGAGUGGCAUGAUCUUGGCUCACUGCAACCUCCGUCUCCCGGGCUCAAGCAAUUCUCCUGCCUCAGCCUCCAGAGUAGCUGGGAUUACAGGUAUGUGCCACCACGGCCGGUUGAUUUUUGUAUUUUUAGUAGAGACAGGGUUUCACCAUGUUGGCUGGGCUGGUCUUGAACUCCUGACCUCAGGUAAUUCGCCCGCGUCGGCCUCCCAAAGUGCUGGGAUUACAGGUGUGAACCACUAUGCCCGGCCAAAACUUUUUCUUACCUUUAAAGUUUUUUCUCUUACUUAAAAGUCUUAUCUAUGCUGUUCCAGUAAUUACAUUAUUUUUUAUUUAUUUCACUAUGCCAAAGAAAAUAUAAAAAAUUUAUAAUAUAGUCUGUAUACUUAAAAUCUCAUAUUACCACUCUUAAAUUAUUAUUUUUAUUUUUACAUUGCAUAUCUUGCAGUGGACAUAUAUUGUUUUAUCUUUUAAGCACUGCUUCCUUAUUAAAGAGUAGUCUCUUAUCUUGGCCAAUUACUCCUUUCUACCCUGCAGAUAUAUCUUUCCAACAGGAAUGUUGUUUGUAGUGUAUUGUCUAGGUGGCCAUGGUUAAUUUGCACUGUGGCUGGUCCCUAAGCAAAGACAGGCUAACCUG